rnacentral:lncRNA from 1 species
AGGCCAGCCGCGAUUCCUUCGGGCGAUGCUGGGGGCUUUCCGGUCGGGGCCGCAGCCGCUUCCGGAGCCGCGGGCGAGGUGCGUUCCCCAGCCUGGUUUGCUCUGGGCUCUGACCCGCCGCCGCGAAUCUCCGCUCGUAACUCCGGGCCUGAACCUGGAGGAGGGAGGAUUUCCUCUGUGCAGCUUUCGAGCGGUAGACUCACCCUGCCAGGCAGACCUAGAUUGGCAUAACCAGAGAUCAGUUCCAGUUGUGAUGCAGUGGGUGUCUACACACUUCUGAUGACACCUUUAUUUUAAAAGCUGAUGUUCCAAGUCGAUUCACCAUGAUCUUGGCUGGCUGUCUUCUUCCUUCAUGGCUGCUAGUAAUGACAAUUCAGUGGCUGUUUCUUCAGCUGUGCAAAGUUGGAACAUGUUUGGGAGUUCAACGGCAUUGGUUUCUGGUUGGUGCAAGCGGUCUUCUCUGUCUUCUUUAUGGCCAGUAAAAUUCUCCAGAAGAGAUUUAUGGCAGCCUCACUCCCAGUAGUUUCUGCAUUUAGUGAGAUAAGGAAUGGAUUUUCUUCUGUGUAUUGCUGACACGAACAGGAGACGGAAAUACUGAGUAGAAGAGGGCGGUUCCCUGGCUAA